rnacentral:rRNA from 1 species
UUGAGAGUUUGAUCCUGGCUCAGGAUGAACGCUGGCGGCGUGGAUAAGGCAUGCAAGUCAAGCGGACGCAAUUGCCAACUUUUAAUUCCUAACUUAUAAUUAGCCUAUGAAAUUAAGAUACAAAGAUUUUCAAGUCUACAAAGACUCAAAAUCUUUAGUAGUGCUGAUAUUUCGCUUAACUAGAAAAUUUCCUAAAGAAUUUUAUUAUCUUUCAGACCAAAUAAUUAGUGGAGUAAUUAAGCAGUUGGGCGGUUUCUCUAAAUUCUUAAUUAAAAAUUGAAAAUUAUAAAUUAGAAGUUGUAAGUUGGUCGUUGCGUCAGCGGCAGACGGGGUAGUAACACGUAGGAACUCACCCCAGAGACGGGCAUAACUCCGCGAAAGCGGAGCUAAUUCCCGAUAGUCCCCUCCCUUUCUUAGAGUUUGAAAAUAUUGCUAAAAAAUAAUUUAGAGUAAAUAAAUUUAGUAAAUAUAAAAUCGAGCUUUAGGAAAGGGAGGGGUAAAUCACUUAGAUUGGCUCUGGGAGAGGCCUGCGGGCUAUCAGCUAGUUGGCGGGGUAAUGGCCCACCAAGGCUACGACGGCUAGGGGGAGUGAGAGCUUGGCCCCCACCAAUGGAACUGAGAUCAAUUCGGUCUCCUCCGGCAGUAAUGCCGGAAUAAAAUUCAGCUCAUAACGGUGGAAUCUUUUGGGGGAUGUGAUAUAAUAUCCCCAUGAAGACAAUACCGUGGGAAGUCGAUGCUUCCAAGUUUUCGGAUAGUUAUAUUGCAGGUUUUCUAGAUGGUGACGGUUCAAUUGUAGCGACAGUGGAAAGGCGUCCCGAAAGAAGGCGUUUUCCAUACCGAGUUCGCUUAAAAAUAAAUUUCACCCAGCAUAUCCGACAUAUGGGUUUGCUGGCUGGAAUACAGAAAUUUUUAAAUGACAUCGGUUCGUUACGCAAAACAUCAAUGCAUAAUCUUGCGGAAUUGGUAAUUCAAGACCGCAAAGAAGUACGAGAAUUACUUAAAAGGCUGUUACCGUUUCUUAUUUUAAAAGAACGGCAAGCCAAAAUUAUGCUAGCUGUCAUAGAAAUCUACGACAAAGCAACCGUGAAAAUUCGUAGUUCAAUAUCCGAAAAGGAGUUUGCAAAAAUUUUAUCAUUAGUGCGCGAGAUUAGAAAUCUAAAUUCUCGCACUGGCGGCAAAAUUCAACUCUGAAGCAUUUGACCCCGUAACGACUUAUCUCGAAAAAAUCGGUGCUAAUUUUUGGAAAAAAGAAGAGCCUACCUUCUUGACUCCAAAAAUUAGCACCGAUUCUAGAGAUGGAGUUAUCAUUUUUUAAUGAUAGCUAAGACGCUGACCCCUAAUUUGCAAUUAGGGUGAAGGUAUAGUCUGUACCAUUAGUGAUAAUGGAUAAAUACGACGGUCCAUACACCUACGGGUGGCAGCAGCCGAGAAUAUUCGACAAUGGGCGAAAGCCUGAUCGAGCGACGCCGCGUGCAGGAGGAAGUCCUUCGGGACGUAAACUGCUUUUUUAGGGGAGGAACGAAAGUGACUGUACCCUAAGAAUAAGGGCUUGCUAACCUCGUGCCAGCAGCCGCGGUAAUACGAGGAGCCCGAGCGUUAUCCGGAUUUACUGGGCGUAAAGGGUGUGUAGGGGGUUUUGUUAGUCUUCUGUUAAAAUCCGACGCUUAACGUCGGAGCUGCGGGAGAAACGGCAAAACUUAGAGUGUGCCAUAGGCAAGCGGAACUCACGGUGUAGGGGUGAAAUCCGUUGAUAUCGUGGGGAACACCAAAGGCGAAGGCAGCUUGCUGGGGCACAACUGACCCUGAAACACGAAAGCGUGGGGAUCAAAAAGGAUUAAGAGUGGCCACAAACAAGGAUACGAUGUAAAAAAUCGUAGGUGGCGCUAGUCCCCAUGCGCAGAGAUAUGCGCAUGGUUAAAAAAUUCAACUAUAUGCUGGAAAAUCCGAGUAUCUUUAAGUACUGCGAUUUAUCGCAGUGAAAAUCUUAAAGUGCGGACAAUCAGCAGGAAACUUCAAAAAGAACUAUUACUAAGAAAGGAGUGAAAACUAAUGCGUAAAAUAAAGAAGAGACCAAAGCGGAAGAUGAGACAGAAAAUGGAACGUACGGAAAGCAUUGAGAAUAGAUUCUCAAUAUAUUUUCAAGCUUGGGAUUCCAUACUCAAAGCGCUAAAGCCGCAAAAGGAACCAAAAGGCGGCUAUGUACGCAGUUCAGAAUACGAUCAUUGGUAAAGUUUUUAUUGAAGAAUCCUCAGAGACUAUACGUUGAACACAAGUUAAAUAAAUGGGCGAACGAGUUAAAACUUUAGUAGCCCAAGUAUUUUUCUUAUGAUGAUAUAGUCCGAACUCGCCAGCGAUGGCGAGAGACCGGCAGAAAUGUCCGGUCCAACUCAAGAACCCGCCAAAAGCUAACGCAUUUAGGCGGGCAAGUCGGUGCUAAUUUUUGGAAAAAAAAGAGGUUAUUUGUUUGACCUCUGAUUGAGAUAUGUCUUUAGCCAGAAUUUCCAGUUGAUCAUGACAUAGAAAACCAAUACGACAAGGAUGGCCUUACCUACUAUAAUGGGAAAUUCAUACAUAUAUUGUCCUCCUUCUGAUUAAAGUCUAGCAUAGAGACAUAUUUUUAUCAAGCUCUAAUCUUGACCCCGCAAAAAAGAGCGGGGCAGGCUCCAAAAAUUAGCACCGAUUAUCAAAUCUUGAGCACUUGGGUGUCCGACACCCAAGUUAGUAACAAAAUGUAGAUACCCUUGUAGUCCACGCCCUAAACGAUGAUGACUAGCCAUUGGAAGUAUCGACCCUUCGAGUGGCGAAGCUAACGCGUUAAGUCAUCCGCCUGGGAAGUACGAACGCAAGUUUAAAACUCAAAGGAAUAGACGGGGACUCGCACAAGCGGUGGAGCAUGUGGUUCAAUUCGAUGGUAAACGAAAAACCUCACCAGGGCUUGAAAUUCCGACGAUAAGUCCCGUGAAAGCGGGAUGUCUCACAAGGACGUCGGAACAGGUGCUGCAUGGCUGUCGUCAGUUCGUGGCUUGAGCUGUUCCCUUAAGUGGGGUAACGAACGCAACCCCUGCCCCGUGUUAUACGUGUCACGGGGGACUACUCUGAUUUUCGGAGGGGAAGGUGGGGAUGACGCCAAGUCAGCAUGGCCCUCUGAUGCCCUGGGCUACACACGUGCUACAAUGGGACGUACAAUGGGCCGCAAUACCGAGAGGUGGAGCUAAUCCCUUAAAACGUCCCCCAGUUCAGAUUGAGGUCUGCAACUCGACCUCAUGAAGACGGAAUCGCUAGUAAUCGCAGGUCAGCUAUACUGCGGUGAAUACGUUCUCGAGUCUUGUACUCACAAAUAAAUGCGCCCGGCAGCGCAUAGUUCUAAGUGGUUAAAAUCCACUCUUUAUCAUUCGUCGUGAUAAAUGUAGCAGAAAGAUAGGUCCAACUCCGUAAGGAAUGGACUGAAGGAUCCGGAUGCAAAACACAGCCUACAAAAUUAAAAGCCGCGCUGACCUAUCGGGGGGUGGUGAGGAUGGGGAAAGCGCAAAAAAGGCUUUGUAGGAUGUAUUGGAACAGAAUUAUGCGUGACCCGGGGAGACCCAGUUUUCCACAUGGCAGUGGCUACAUUGAAUUGUCAAAUGGCAAUUCAAUAUGUAUUAUAUGUACAUGCAUCAGCCGAAGGAAAUUGGGAGUCAGCUGCGUCGUAGUAUCGCGCUUUUUCAUAAGAAAAACGCGAGAAGGACAAAACCAAGCAUGUUAUCUGCCGAUUAUAUUGUUGGUUUAACGGACGGCGAGGGAAGUUUUACUAUUUAUCUGCUUCCGCCAAAAAAAGAGCACGGCUCUGUGAAUUAUAGAGUGCAGUGCCGCUACUAUAUCAAGAUGCGGGAAGACGAGCUUCCUCUUCUUCUGAAAGUACAGCGAUUUUGGGGGUGCGGGAAGAUUUACUUUCAACGCGAAUAUAGGAAAAAUCAACGAGAUAAUUAUCGAUUCGAAAUAUUCAAUUAUACUCUUCUGAAAAGAGUAGUAGUGCCUUUUUUCAAACAGCAUCCGUUAGAAAGUAAGCGGAUCAAAGAUUUUGAGCUUUUUUGCAAAAUUCUUGAUCUUGCUAUUACAAAAGCGCAUCGUACUAAAAAAGGGCUUCAGAAAAUCAUUAAAUUGAAAUCGCAGAUGCAUGCUUAGGGCUCGCGUAGUGCGGGAAAUUCGCUCGCUACGUGGGAACGUGAAAUAUGCCAAUUAUCACAUUCGCCCGUCAACUCAAGGGAGCCGGGAGUAGGUGAACCCCGGUCUUGCAUCGGGGCAGCCUAAGCUCGGUGACAGGGAGUAAGUCGUAACAAGGCACGGCUAGCGGAAGCUGGU